GUUUGUUUCAGUAUUCAUUGAAUGAAAGGAAGCUGCUGGAACUGAGGACAGAAAUCGUGGCACUGCAUGCUCAGCAAGAUCGGGCCCUGACCCAGACUGACCGGAAAAUAGAAACUGAGGUUGCUGGCCUCAAAACAAUGCUAGAGGCACAUAAGCUUGACACUAUCAAAUACUUAGCAGGGUCUAUAUUUACGUGCCUAACCGUAGCUCUGGGAUUUUACCGCCUGUGGAGAUAAUAAAAGUAUAUUUAAAGUAAUGCCCACUGUUUGCCUUAACAGUACCAGAUUGUUACCCUCCCCCUCUUAUUCCAAAUUUUAAUCCUGGUUUGACUUAAUGCAUAUUUAUUCUGUGCAAAUUAUGGGUACAUAACCAACAUAAAGCAGUCUAGAAUUCCACAGUG